rnacentral:rRNA from 1 species
AUUGAACGCUGGCGGCAGGCCUAACACAUGCAAGUCGAACGAGUGGCGGACGGGUGAGUAAUGUCUGGGAAACUGCCCGAUGGAGGGGGAUAACUACUGGAAACGGUAGCUAAUACCGCAUACUAUCAGAUGAGCCUAGGUCGGAUUAGCUAGUAGGUAGGGUAAUGGCUCACCUAGGCGACGAUCCCUAGCUGGUCUGAGAGGAUGACCAGCCACACUGGAACUGAGACACGGUCCAGACUCCUACGGGAGGCAGCAGUGGGGAAUAUUGCACAAUUGGCGCAAGCCUGAUGCAGCCAUGCCGCGUGUGUGAAGAAGGCCUUCGGGUUGUAAAGCACUUUCAGCGAGGAGGCGUUACUCGCAGAAGAAGCACCGGCUAACUCCGUGCCAGCAGCCGCGGUAAUAC